UACGUAGGGUGCGAGCGUUAAUCGGAAUUACUGGGCGUAAAGUGCGCGCAGGCGGCAGAGCAAGUCGAGUGUGAAAGCCCCGGGCUUAACUUGGGAAUUGCGCUCGAAACUACUUUGCUGGAGUGUGGCAGAGGAAGGUGGAAUUCCACGUGUAGCGGUGAAAUGCGUAGAGAUGUGGAGGAACACCAAUGGCGAAGGCAGCCUUCUGGGCCAACACUGACGCUCAUGCACGAAAGCGUGGGGAGCAAACAGG
rnacentral:rRNA from 1 species